UCCAGGCUCAGGUUGUGAGUCCUCAUAUAUGUCAUCAAGAGGAGCAUAGGACAUAUAGCUCUGCGAACGAAAGCAUAUUUGUAUUGUUACAUAGCACUUUUCAAGGGAUAAAGAGAACAAUAAUCAAUUAAGUCGCCCCACAAUAAAUAUUUCAUCACGUGAGGGGACACACAACAGAAAGAAAAACAUUUCGAUCAUUGCAUCAAGCAUUUAUCAUUAAUCAAACCAGCAACAUAGUACCACCAUAAAAAAACAUCAAUAAUUAGAUUUCUUCAGGAAUCCGUUCCAUAUAAUUGAAAAUUGGUCGCUCGUAGUUUCAAAUAUUUCUAAAAUUGCUUCAAGGAAAGAGUGUGGACUGUGGAACAUAACACCGCUGGUACUCUAAACCGUAUCAUCAAAUCUCUGAAUUAACUUGAAAGAUAAUGUAUCAAAUCAGCAAAAUUAUCAUAUUAAAACUUUGUCAGUAGUCAUUUUCAUCAACAAAAAUGAAGUACCUCUAGAAGAAAAAAAAGGGCAGCCCGGUGCAUGUAGCUCCCGCUUGCGCAGGGUCCGGGGAAGGGUCCGACCACUUUGGGUCUAUAGUACGCAGCCUUUCCCUACAUUUCUGUAAGAGGCUGUUUCCAGGACUUGAACCCGUGACCUUAUGGUCACAAGGCAGCAGCUUUACCACUGCGCCAAGGCUCUCUAGAAGAUCUUGCAAAAUGACAAUUUGUUGUGCAAUGCACUUGGGAUUACAUGGAGCCCGUUAGUAUCUUAUGAUCAGUAUCAAAUAAGGUCUUACUAACUCCAUUUAACCUACAGCAAAAUACACUAAUCUAUAAACAACUGCAGUUAGCAGUAAACUGAACUCACAUGUAGCACAGAAAGGCUGCAAACACGUACUUGGUGCUGCUGAGCGGAAGAAUAUUAAACAGUCACUUCAACCUUACGUAAUACAAGGGAGGAUAUAUACCACAUUACAACAGCAGCCCCAAAUUGCAGCAAAUAUAUAUAGCUCAAUGUGUAUUAUUCAUUUUAACACACUAUUAUUACUUGAUAUACUGAACUUCAACAGUAGUACAUGCUUUAGAAAGCAAGAAAAUUGUUGAAUUGAAAGCUAAAUUUGCCUAACAAAUUGUAGCACAAGAAAGCGGUAAAACAAAAAAAAAAUGAGAGAUGGC
rnacentral:lncRNA from 1 species